rnacentral:lncRNA from 1 species
GGUUGUGUAUUAAAUAUAUUACAUAUGUUUUGUGCAAGGUUAUACACGAAGCUUGCUCCUAAAGAGAGUACAGAUGUUUAAGUUCAAGUUGAAUUCUGAAAUGAGUAGCUUGGUGCAUGCCGAAUGCUUUAUGUUUUUCAUUAUUGUCAAUCUCUUUUGGUCACUCGGGAAUGAUAUUUUUGCUUCAAUUGAGAAUGUUUGUUCAUGUAUUAAGAAAAGAAUGAAUGUAAGUAUUUGUAGUAAGUUUUAACAUUAAAUAAUAAAUGAAUUUUUUACUAACAUCUUCUUGGGAUUUAGUGUUUGCAAUUGGGAUGACUACUUCAUCUACUGGAACGGAGAUGAGAGAUCCAGAUUUGGAUGUGCUCCUCAAGUAAAGGAAGUGUUCCUUUGUUCUCUGUGACCCUGCUGCAGAUAAUGUCAAAUAAGGUUCACAUGUAAUAAUAUGAAAGUAAGAAUUAAUACUUAUACAUAUACAAG